rnacentral:rRNA from 1 species
GAGUUUGAUCCUGGCUCAGGACGAACGCUGGCGGCGUGCCUAAUACAUGCAAGUCGAGCGAGCGGAACUAACAGAUUUACUUCGGUAAUGACGUUAGGAAAGCGAGCGGCGGAUGGGUGAGUAACACGUGGGGAACCUGCCCCAUAGUCUGGGAUACCACUUGGAAACAGGUGCUAAUACCGGAUAAGAAAGCAGAUCGCAUGAUCAGCUUUUAAAAGGCGGCGUAAGCUGUCGCUAUGGGAUGGCCCCGCGGUGCAUUAGCUAGUUGGUAAGGUAAAGGCUUACCAAGGCGAUGAUGCAUAGCCGAGUUGAGAGACUGAUCGGCCACAUUGGGACUGAGAUACGGCCCAAACUCCUACGGGAGGCAGCAGUAGGGAAUCUUCCACAAUGGACGCAAGUCUGAUGGAGCAACGCCGCGUGAGUGAAGAAGGUUUUCGGAUCGUAAAGCUCUGUUGUUGGUGAAGAAGGAUAGAGGUAGUAACUGGCCUUUAUUUGACGGUAAUCAACCAGAAAGUCACGGCUAACUACGUGCCAGCAGCCGCGGUAAUACGUAGGUGGCAAGCGUUGUCCGGAUUUAUUGGGCGUAAAGCGAGCGCAGGCGGAAGAAUAAGUCUGAUGUGAAAGCCCUCGGCUUAACCGAGGAAGUGCAUCGGAAACUGUUUUUCUUGAGUGCAGAAGAGGAGAGUGGAACUCCAUGUGUAGCGGUGAAAUGCGUAGA